rnacentral:rRNA from 1 species
GAUGAACGCUAGCGACAGGCCUAACACAUGCAAGUCGAGGGGCAGCACGGUGUAGCAAUACACGGGUGGCGACCGGCGCACGGGUGAGUAACGCGUAUGCAACCUGCCUACUACAAGGGGAUAACCCGUUGAAAGACGGACUAAUACCCUAUAACACAGGGGAUCCGCAUGGAUAUAUUUGUUAAAGAUUUAUCGGUAGUAGAUGGGCAUGCGUUCCAUUAGCUUGUUGGUGAGGUAACGGCUCACCAAGGCAACGAUGGAUAGGGGAACUGAGAGGUUGAUCCCCCACACUGGAACUGAGACACGGUCCAGACUCCUACGGGAGGCAGCAGUGAGGAAUAUUGGUCAAUGGACGAGAGUCUGAACCAGCCAAGUCGCGUGAAGGAAGACGGCCCUACGGGUUGUAAACUUCUUUUGUAAGGGAAUAAAUAGUCUUACGCGCUAAGACGUUGCAGGUACCUUACGAAUAAGGAUCGGCUAACUCCGUGCCAGCAGCCGCCGUAACAC